rnacentral:rRNA from 1 species
ACUCAAAGGAAUAGACGGGGGCCCGCACAAGCGGUGGAGCAUGUGGUUCAAUUCGAAGCAACGCGCAGAACCUUACCGACCCUUGACAUGUCCCGUGUGGGUUCCAGAGAUGGGACCCUUCAGUUCGGCUGGCGGGAACACAGGUGCUGCAUGGCUGUCGUCAGCUCGUGUCGUGAGAUGUUGGGUUAAGUCCCGCAACGAGCGCAACCCUCGCCCUUAGUUGCUACCAUUUAGUUGAGCACUCUAAGGGGACUGCCGGUGAUAAGCCGCGAGGAAGGUGGGGAUGACGUCAAGUCCUCAUGGCCCGUACGGGUCGGGCUACACACGUGCUACAAUGGCGGUGACAGUGGGAUGCAAUGGAGCAAUCCUGCGCAAAUCUCAAAAAGCCGUCUCAGUUCGGAUUGGGGUCUGCAACUCGACCCCAUGAAGUCGGAAUCGCUAGUAAUCGCAGAUCAGCACGCUGCGGUGAAUACGUUCCCGGGCCUUGUACACACCGCCCGU